UUCUUACCCCGGCGGGAACUAAGCAUAUCAAUAAGCGGAGGAAAAGAAACCAACAGGGUUGCCCUAGUAACGGCGAGUGAAGCGGCAACAGCUCAAAUUGAAAUCUGGCUCUCUUUGGGGGUCCGAGUUGUAAUUUGUAGAGGGUGCUUCGGCAUCGGCCUUGGUCUAAGUUCUUUGGAACAAGACGUCACAGAGGGUGAGAAUCCCGUACGUGGCCAUUGGUCGUUGCCAUGUGAAGCCCCUUCGACGAGUCGAGUUGUUUGGGAAUGCAGCUCUAAAUGGGAGGUAAAUUUCUUCUAAAGCUAAAUACCGGCCAGAGACCGAUAGCGCACAAGUAGAGUGAUCGAAAGAUGAAAAGCACUUUGGAAAGAGAGUCAAAAAGCACGUGAAAUUGUUGAAAGGGAAGCGCUUACAGCCAGACUUGCCUGCAGUUGCUCAUCUAGGCUUUUGCCUGGAGCACUCUUCUGUAGGCAGGCCAGCAUCAGUUUGGGCGGCCAGAUAAAGGCUUUGGGAAUGUAGCACUCUCCGGAGUGUGUUAUAGCCCAGAGUGUCAUGUGGCCAGCCUGGACUGAGGUCCGCGCUUCGGCUAGGAUGCUGGCGUAAUGGCGGUAAGCGGCCCGUCUUGAAACACGGACCAAGGAGUCUAACAUCUAUGCGAGUGUUUGGGUGUCAAGCCCGGACGCGUAAUGAAAGUGAACGGAGGUGGGAACCUUUGGGUGCACCAUCGACCGAUCCUGAUGUCUUCGGAUGGAUUUGAGUAAGAGCAUAGCUGUUGGGACCCGAAAGAUGGUGAACUAUGCCUGAAUAGGGUGAAGCCAGAGGAAACUCUGGUGGAGGCUCGCAGCGGUUCUGACGUGCAAAUCGAUCGUCAAAUUUGGGCAUAGGGGCGAAAGACUAAUCCGAACCUUCCAUGUGCCC
rnacentral:rRNA from 1 species